UACGUAUGGUGCAAGCGUUAUCCGGAUUUACUGGGUGUAAAGGGAGCGUAGACGGCUGUGUAAGUCUGAAGUGAAAGCCCGGGGCUCAACCCCGGGACUGCUUUGGAAACUAUGCAGCUAGAGUGUCGGAGAGGUAAGUGGAAUUCCCAGUGUAGUGGUGAAAUGCGUAGAUAUUGGGAGGAACACCAGUGGCGAAGGCGGCUUACUGGACGAUGACUGACGUUGAGGCUCGAAAGCGUGGGGAGCAAACAGG
rnacentral:rRNA from 1 species